UACGUAGGGGGCGAGCGUUGUCCGAAGUUACUGGGCGUAAAGCGCGCGUAGGCGGCUCGUUAAGUGUGAAGUGAAAUGCCGGGGCUCAACUCCGGAACUGCUUUACAUACUGGCGAGCUUGAGGGAUGCAGAGGUUUGUGGAAUUCCUGGUGUAACGGUGAAAUGUGUUGAUAUCAGGAGGAACACCCAUGGCGAAGGCAGCAAACUGGGCAUCACCUGACGCUGAGGCGCGAAAGCGUGGGUAGCAAACAGG
rnacentral:rRNA from 1 species